GCAAGGAAUUUUCCGCAAUGGGGGAAACCCUGACGGAGCAACGCCGCGUGGGGGAUGACGCGUUUCGGCGUGUAAACCCCUUUUCGAGGGGACGAAGCAAGUGACGGUACCCUCGGAAGAAGGACCGGCUAACUACGUGCCAGCAGCCGCGGUAAGACGUAGGGUCCGAGCGUUGUCCGGAGUUACUGGGCGUAAAGCGCGCGCAGGCGGUUGGUCGCAUCGGUGGUGAAAGCCCCCCGCUUAACGGGGGAGGGUCCAUCGAGAUGGGCCGACUGGAGGCAGGGAGAGGCGAGUGGAAUUCCGGGUGUAGUGGUGAAAUGCGUAGAGAUCCGGAGGAACACCAGCGGCGAAGGCGGCUCGCUGGACCUGACCUGACGCUGAGGCGCGAAGGCGCGGGGAGCGAACGGGAUUAGAAACCCCGGUAGUCC
rnacentral:rRNA from 1 species